rnacentral:lncRNA from 1 species
AAGAGACCAAAAUGACACAGACAUUAACAACUAUAGGUCACCGUACGGCCUUCAACAAUGAGCAAAGCCCAUACCGCAUAGUAAGCUAUAAAAGGCCCCGAUAAGACAAUGUUAAACAAUUCAAACGAGAAAACUAACGGCCUUAUUUAUAAAAAAAAAAAAAAUGAACGAAAAACAAAUAUGUAACACAUAAACAAACGACAACCACA